ACCGCCAGAGCCGCGCCCGUCGCCGCAGCCGCCGUCGCCGCCAUGGCCGGACGUCUGACCCGCAGGUGAAGUGAGCGGACGGCGGGUCAGCCCGCCAUGCGUCCAGAAUGACCAUCUCUGCCGAGCACAGUCGCCUGUCGGACGAUGAAGCCGACGAGCAGGAGCUCGAGGAGGUGCCGCCCAAGCUCACACUCGCCGAGAAACUCAAGAAAAAGUACGAGGAAAACCUGCCCAAGCUGGACUUUUACGCCACGGUGCUGUUCAGUCUGGUGGCGAUUGGCGCCUUCUUCGGCUUCCUGUUCCUGGUGCCGUUCGUGAUCGAGCCGGCCGUGACCACCAUCCAGAUGGACUUUGAGGUGGAGCCCGUCACCUGCUGUGUCGUCUCGUUCACCGAGAUGUUCGGCGCCAGCAACUGCUCCGACUGGACAUCGUGUCGCGAGGGCUGCACGAGAGAGAUCUACGAGUGUGUGAAGAUCCUCGUGGCAUACACAGACGCUGAGAACUUCACGUGCAGCGAGCGGCCGCCGGGUCACCAGUGGUUACACAACGAGGCGUACCUCUAUCCGAACGUGAAGGGGUGCGGCUACCCGCCGACCCUGAACUGCACCAUAUUCCACGACCGGUUCCGUGAUCCGAACGUAACGUUUCCGUGCUACUACAGCCGUGUGGACGCCACGCUGGUCAUCACGGAGCUGGACCCGGAGGAGAUCGAGCACCAGCUGAUGCUGUCGAUCGUGGCGCCGGCGGUGGCGUUCGUGGUGUCGAUCGCCUACCUCGUGCACGCCUACCACCGCAUGAAGCGGAAGGAGGCGGCCGCCGCCGAGCGCGACCGCCAGGAGAAGGCCCAGUGUCUGCUGGAGAGGGAGGAGGAGCAGGUGGCCACGCGCAGCAACGCCACCAGCACCUACUCCAUCAAGUCCAUCUCCAGCAAGAUCAAUGCGACGAUGGUGAGGCUGGCCCGGGAGCGGCGCAAGGAGAGCGGUGUUGUGCGUGUGGUUCAAAGGAUCAAACAACUUAUGAAACCCAAGCAUAUUUGUCAAUCGUUAUACAACUUGACGACGAGGCCAUGGAGCUGGAGCAGGUUGUUCCUGAGGCGCGUCCGCCCAGCCGCUAUCUGAAGCCGGGCAGGAUGCCCAGCGGCAACCGGCACAACUUGCUGGAGCCACUGGAGCCGCCUGCCGGCGCUUCCGACCAGCCGGCGCCGCAGCCGGAAAGCGGAAAAAGCGGAAUGUCACCAGUAGAAACGUAGAAUUUUCAUUUAUCUGCAG
rnacentral:misc_RNA from 1 species